AACGAACGCUGGCGGCAUGCCUAACACAUGCAAGUCGAACGAGACCUUCGGGUCUAGUGGCGCACGGGUGCGUAACGCGUGGGAACCUGCCCUUAUGUUCGGAAUACCUCCCCGACAGGGGUGCUAAUGCCGGAUAAUGUCCUCGGACAAAAGAUUUAUCGUCUUGGGAUGGGCCCGCGUUGGAUUAGCUAGUUGGUAGUGUAAAAGCCUACCACGGCGACGCUCCAUAGCUGGUCUGAGAGGAUGAGCAGCCACACUGGGACUGAGACACGGCCCAGACUCCUACGGGAGGCAGCAGUGGGGAAUAUUGGACUAUGGGCGAAAGCCUGAUCCAGCAAUGCCGCGUGAGUGAUGAAGGCCUUAGGGUUGUAAAGCUCUUUUACCCGGGAUGAUAAUGACAGUACCGGGAGAAUAAGCUCCGGCUAACUCCGUG
rnacentral:rRNA from 1 species